rnacentral:sRNA from 1 species
GCACAAAGUGACUCAUCCAUGUCACUUUCCUCUACACCGACAGGCACCUCAAGCGGGGGCUCGGGAAAAGGUUGCCCGAUCCUGGUACUGUAACCGUGGCCUAGUCUCUCUUUCGGCCAAGAUCGACCGCAAGGGCUACACCCCAGGAGAGGUCAUCCCUGUCUUUGCCGAGAUCGACAACGGCUCCACACGUCCUGUGCUGCCUCGGGCAGCCGUGGUGCAGACACAGACGUUCAUGGCCCGAGGCGCCCGAAAGCAGAAACGGGCAGUGGUGGCCAGCCUCGCGGGCGAGCCGGUGGGCCCUGGGCAGCGGGCGCUGUGGCAGGGCCGGGCACUGCGGAUCCCCCCAGUGGGUCCUUCCAUCCUGCACUGCCGCGUUCUACACGUGGACUACGCACUCAAGGUCUGUGUGGAUAUCCCAGGAACGUCCAAGCUGCUGCUGGAGCUGCCACUGGUGAUCGGCACCAUUCCCUUGCACCCUUUUGGCAGCCGUUCCUCCAGCGUGGGCAGCCACGCCAGCUUCCUGCUGGACUGGAGGCUGGGGGCCUUGCCGGAGCGGCCUGAGG